rnacentral:rRNA from 1 species
CCUACGGGAGGCAGCAGUGAGGAAUAUUGGUCAAUGGGCGCGACCCUGAACCAGCCAAGUCGCGUGAGGGAAGACGGUCCUAUGUAUUGUAAACCUCUUUUGUCGGGGAGCAAAAGACGCCACGCGUGGCGUUCCGAGAGUCCCCGUAGAAAAAGCAUCGGCUAACACGGUGCCAGCAGCCGCGGUAAUCCGGAGGAUGCGAGGGUUAUCCGGUUUUAUUGGGGUUAAAGGGUGCGCAGGCGGAAGAUCAAGUCAGCGGUAAAAGUGAGAGGCUCAACCUCUUCGAGCCGUUGAAACUGGGUUGCUUGAGUGAGCGAGAAGUAUGCGGAAUGCGUGGUGUAGCGGUGAAAUGCAUAGAUAUUACGCAGAACUCCGAUUGCGAAGGCAGCAUACCGGAGCUCAACUGACGCUCAUGCACGAAAGUGUGGGUAUCGAACAGGAUUAGAUACCCGAGUAGUC